rnacentral:rRNA from 1 species
GUGAACGCUGGCGGUAGGCCUAACACAUGCAAGUCGAACGGCAGCACAGUAAGAGCUUGCUCUUACGGGUGGCGAGUGGCGGACGGGUGAGGAAUACAUCGGAAUCUACUUUUUCGUGGGGGAUAACGUAGGGAAACUUACGCUAAUACCGCAUACGACUUACGGGUGAAAGCAGGGGAUCUUCGGACCUUGCGCGAUUGAAUGAGCCGAUGUCGGAUUAGCUAGUUGGCGGGGUAAAGGCCCACCAAGGCGACGAUCCGUAGCUGGUCUGAGAGGAUGAUCAGCCACACUGGAACUGAGACACGGUCCAGACUCCUACGGGAGGCAGCAGUGGGGAAUAUUGGACAAUGGGCGCAAGCCUGAUCCAGCCAUACCGCGUGGGUGAAGAAGGCCUUCGGGUUGUAAAGCCCUUUUGUUGGGAAAGAAAAGCAGCAGGUUAAUACCCCGCUGUUCUGACGGUACCCAAAGAAUAAGCACCGGCUAACUUCGUG